rnacentral:ncRNA from 1 species
CACCGAACAGGGCAAACCCGCCGCGAGGCGGGGACGCAAAGUUACCGGUCUCAGUCCCCGCAGCAGGCGGCCGAGACAGCGGGACCGCCGGC